GGUCUCGUAGCUCAGGGGGAGAGCGUCCGCCUCACACGCGGAAGGUCGCUGGUUCGAUCCCAGCCGGGACCACCG
rnacentral:tRNA from 1 species